CGCGAGAGUCCCUGCGUGAGCCACUUGUGCGGGCUCCCGCGUUCCGGGAGGAGGCAGAGGGUCAGGCCCUUCCUGACCGCAAAGCAGCCGCCGAGUGGCUGUUGCUGUCAGGCCUCUCCUGCUUGGCAGGAAAACAGCUGGAACCAGAGGGAACAGCGCUUUGAAAAUCUGUUUCUGGGAACAAAGCGUAGAAUGGUGGCGGAAUGUCUGGCCAGGGAGGCGUGGCCCUCAGAUGAUUGCAAGCCAGAAGGCCCUGAUAAAUCAGAGAUGCUUCAUGGGGUCCAGGAAGAUGUCUCAGGAAGUAAGCUCUUGCCAGUCAAACUUAAGCACCUGAAUUGGAUCCUCGGGUCUGAAGAUGGAAGAACAAUCAACUUAAGGUGUCCUCUGAAAUUCUGUGUAGAGUAGUAAUACACAUGAUUGCACUCACACAUCAUGCCCACCGGCACGCGCACAAACACACAAAUAAAAACAUGUUUUCAUGUUGCUCUAG